rnacentral:tRNA from 1 species
GUGAGCGUAGCUCAGUUGGCAGAGCAUCAGACUGUGGCUCUGGGGGUCGUGGGUUCGAGCCCCACCGCUCACC